UCUCAUAUUGUGCCAACAUUAUUACUAAAGCAGCUUUUCUGGGUCCUUCGAGACCCUCCUGGUAUUAAAUACAAGUUCUUUUCUAUAAGAACAACCAACAUCCAUCAAACACCCAUCACUUUCUCUUUAUCCCUUCCUUCGACAUUCUCUGUUUUCCUGCCCCACCAAGUUAUAGGUGAGAAGGCAUGAGAGAAGAGUCCCCUCUUGCGUUGCUUGGAGAACUGAGCACUGUCAAGGAGGAGGAGGAGGUGGUGGUGGAGGAGCAUGACUAGCGGCGGCUGCAGGGUUCAAUUUCGAUCUAUAUAUGAUCAGAUCAUCCUCGUUCUUCAAACUUGAGGCCCUCGGAUCUGGUGCCAUGAAGUUGUUGUGUUUAGUCUACUAGUGUGCUAUUCAUAUGAAGUUAUGAACUCUUAUGUGAUUUGUUGUGUUUCGUCUACUAGUGUCCUAUUCAAAUGAACUCUUAUGUAUUGUUGUGUAGCUUGUUGCUUGGAUGUUGUCAUAAAUCAUAUCAUGUUGAGGUUUGGAGUGCCGCGGUAGUCCUAGUGCACUUUUGCUCAUCUCAUGAACUUAGUGUCAGGCCUGAACCGAUUAUGUAAUUGUGGUAAGAUGUUUUAGGCACCUGUCUAGUGUCGUUUCUAGAUUGUGCUAAGUAAUAUGCAACAUGUGAUUGUCUGCUUCUUUCUAAA